AUGUCCAGCAAGGCUUCAUCCCUCAAGACCCGAUCCGAAGCUUCGUGCGCCUCCUCUACGGGUUCUGCAGCAGCCAAAGCCAGAGCAAAAGCUGAGGCAGCCAAAGCACGUCUCCGCUUCGCAGCUAAAGAAAUAGAUUUGAAGGUAGAAAAAGCACAAAUAGAAGUAGCAAAAGCUAAAGUUGAGGCAUCCAUCGAAUAUUUACAGCAUGAAAACGAUGUAGCGUCAGCCAUUGCUGAAGCAGAGUCAUUAGAAGCAGCUGCUGCCACACAGACAGAAACACGCAGCAACAUCUGUCCCUCAGUAACAGCAGAAAUAACUAAACAAUAUGUCAUUGGCCAAUCUGCAUUUGUGAAAAAGGAAAAUGAUUAUGCUCUUCAACAAUCACAAGGGGAAAAUGUAACACAAAGUAAACCAGAGCUCACCUGUGAUCAGCCACCAAACCCUAAAAAAGAUAAUGACCCACAAAAAAUUCCAGUUGGUCUACCAGAUGAUCCAGACCGUGGCCAAAACUCUCCAGUCAUUUUCCCUUCUCAUGCUGAUAAAAAUUACAGUACCAAUUGGUCAAAUCAGGUGUCAGCAUCUAGCUCCCAUGAUGCUAGACCUUUAUACAAAGAGCCUAGAGAAUCAAAUGCGAGUGACUUCAUCAGAUACUUUGCUCGUCGUGAAAUAGUGGCAACAGGGCUACUCCAGUUUAAUGACAAGCCCCAAAACUUCAGAGCUUGGAAACGCUCAUUUAAAAAUGCUAUAAGUGGGUUAGAUCUAACGGCAAGUGAAGAAAUGGACUUGAUGUUAAAAUGGCUUGGCAAGGAAUCGGCUGAACAUGCAGAACAAUUCAGAGCCAUACACAUCAACAAUCCAGUUAAUGGCCUCAACAUGAUAUGGGACAGACUUGAACAAUGUUAUGGCUCAGCUGAAGUGAUUGAGGAUGCACUAUUUAAAAGAAUUGAUACAUUCCCAAAAAUCUCAUCCAAAGACUUUGCAAAACUGAGAAAAUUUAGUGACCUGCUCAUGGAAGUGCAGUGUGCUAAAGCUGGAGGAGACCUCCCCGGUCUCGCGUUCUUAGAUACAGCAAGAGGAGUAAAUCCAAUUAUUCAAAAACUCCCCUUCUACCUGCAAGAAAGGUGGAUCACGGUCGGCGCCAACUACAAACGCACAAAAUGUGUCUCCUUCCCACCAUUUAGUGUUCUAGUAGAUUUUGUUGCGCAAGAAGCUGAUGCUAGAAACGACCCCAGCUUUAAUCUAACACCAUCACCUGAUGCACCCAGACCAGACAAAUUACCUUGGAGGGCAAACAGACAAAAAGAGAUUUCUGUACACAAAACUGAUGUUGUCUCUCGAUCUAGUUCAGACACUCAGAGGUCCCUGAACAAAAUUGUAGAUGGCGAAAAGCUUUGUCCAAUCCACAAGAAAGCCCAUCCUCUCUCAGUGUGCAGAGCAUUUCGCAUGAAAACACUGUUAGACAGGAAAACGUUCUCAAAAGAGAACGACUUUUGCUUCAGAUGCUGUGCCUCAUCUUCACACAUAGCAAAGAACUGCAAGGCCAAAGUACAGUGUGCUGAGUGCAGUGAUGAGAGACACUGCACGGCUUUGCACCCAGGACCAGCUCCCUGGCUAAAAGAAACCGAACCGGCAGCAGAGCAUGGCGGGGAGCCUGACACCAUUGAAUCCGAGGAGAUCACUUCUAAAUGCACUCAGGUUUGUGGUGUGAACGAAGCAGGCAGAUCUUGUUCUAAAAUCUGUCUCGUUAAUGUCUACCCAGCAGGCCGCCCACACCAAGCAGUAAGGCUUUAUGCCAUCCAUGAUGAACAAAGUAACAUAUCACUACUAUGUCCUGAGUUCUUCGAGUUGUUUAAUGACUGUGGCCCUAGUUCUCCUUACUCGCUUAAGACAUGUGCAGGUACCAAAGAAACAAUGGGUAGAAGAGCUACAGGUUAUGUAGUGGCAGCUUUAGAUGGUUCAGUCCACAUCCCACUGCCUAGCCUAAUUGAGUGUAAAAAUAUCCCAAAUGACAGAGACGAGAUCCCCACACCCAGUGCAGCUAGACAUCACAGCCAUCUAAAGUCAGUGGCUCACCUCAUUCCUGCCUUGGACUCCGCCCCCAUACUAAUGCUUCUUGGACGAGAUGUUAUUAGAGCUCACAAAGUCUGCAAACAGAUAAGUGGCCCUAACAACGCACCCUAUGCUCAAAAAUUGGACCUAGGAUGGGUCAUAGUAGGAAACGUGUGUUUAGGUGACGUCCACAAAACUCCUUCAGUAAGGACUCUGUUCACAAAUACAACUGAAAGGGGACGUCCCACAGCGUUUGAGCCAUGUCCUAAUGUUUUCAACGUAAAAGAGAAACAUUGUGGGAUACAAGUUCCACUCAACUUCAGCGCUCAGCUGGCAGACAGCGCUUGUGAACCUGAUCAUUUAGGAUGUAAUGUGUUCAAACAAACCAGAAAUGACAACUACAUCUCACCUUCCAUCCAGGACAAUGCCUUCUUAAAAAUAAUGGAGGAAGGACUAACAAAAAACACAGAUAACAGUUGGACAGCUCCUUUACCAUUCAAAAAUCCACACCGAAAGCUCCCUAACAACAGACCACAGGCCCUGAAUCGCCUAAUGUCUCUUCUUCGCACCUUUGAAAAGAAAAAAGAGAUGAAGGAACAUUUCACCACUUUCAUGGACAAAAUAUUCCAAAACAAACAAGCAGAGAUUGCCCCUCUACUAAAGGAGGAUGAGGAAUGUUGGUAUCUGCCACUAUUCGGUGUCUACCAUCCCCGUAAACCCAAGCAGAUCAGGGUCGUCUUCGACAGAAGUGCCAAGUAUGAAGGCGUAUCCCUGAAUGACGUUCUGUUAACCGGACCAGAUUUUAAUAAUCCAUUGCUUGGGGUCCUAAUACGCUUCAGAAAAGAAGCUGUUGCCUUCACAGCAGACAUCGAACAGAUGUUCUACUGUUUCAGCGUGCGAGAGCAAGACAGGAACUACUUACGCUUCUUGUGGUUCCGCGACAAUGACAUUUCCAAAGAAAUUGUGGAGUAUAGAAUGACAGUCCACGUUUUUGGGAACAGCCCAUCGCCAGCAGUGGCCAUAUAUGGCCUGCACCAGUCAGUCCUACACGUUGAACCAGACUGCGAUGCAGAUGUGAAGCAGUUUGUCAUGCGCGACUUCUAUGUUGAUGACGGACUCAAAUCUCUACCUACUGUUGAAAAAGCCAUAUCUCUACUCCAAAGAACCCGAGAUGCACUUGCAAACUCAAAUUUAAGACUGCAUAAAAUAGCAGCCAACAGAAAGGAAGUUCUAGAGGCUUUCCCAACUCAAGAUCACGCCAAAAACUUAAAAAACCUAGACUUUGAAUCUGAUUCAGUGCCCAUGCAACGCAGCCUAGGUCUCCUCUGGGACUUGAGUAAAGACUGCUUCACCUUUGAAGUAUCUGAUGAGCCAAAGCCCUUUACUAGACGAGGUGUUCUAUCAACAAUAAACAGCCUCUAUGAUCCGCUGGGCUUUGUAGCACCAGUAACCAUACAGGGAAAGUCAAUUCUACGAGAACUUACAGCUGAAAAUGGGGACUGGGAUGCUCCACUGCCUCCUGAAAUGGAAGAGUCCUGGACACAGUGGAAAGACUCACUCAAAGACCUGCCUAACAUGACCAUUCCCAGAGCAUACACAGACAUUUCUCCUUCAACAGCUGUGAGAAAAGAGUUGUGUGUUUUUUCAGACGCAUCUACCAAAGCCAUAGCUGCAGUGGCCUAUUUAAAAGUGACAGAUGCAGAAGGACACACUCAAGUAGGCUUCGUAAUGGGUAAGGCUAAGCUGGCACCACGCCCAGAUCAGACUAUUCCAAGAUUACAGCUUAGUACUGCCGUUUUAGCGGUUGAGCUCGCAGAUCUUAUCUCAGAUGAACUUGACUGUAAACUAGAUCACACUACCUUCUACACAGACAGUAAAGUAGUCCUAGGCUACAUCUACAACGAGUCUAGAAGAUUUUAUGUCUAUGUCAGUAAUCGUGUGACUAGGAUCCGCAGAUCUUCUCAGCCACGCCAGUGGCACUAUGUAGCUAGCAGUCAGAACCCUGCAGAUCACGCCACUCGUUCUGUUCCUGCAUACCAGCUGCCGCUUAGUAACUGGCUCACUGGCCCUGACCUUUUACAUCAGAUUCAGAGUCCUCUAAACAACUCCUAUGACCUUGUAGAGCCCAGCAUAGACUCAGAUGUAAGACCUCAGGUAACUGCACUCAAACCAACAACCUCAACUAAAGAACUGGNUGAUAUGACCUUGUAG
ensembl:lncRNA